CCUACGGGAGGCAGCAGUGGGGAAUAUUGCACAAUGGGGGAAACCCUGAUGCAGCGACGCCGCGUGCGUGAAGAAGUAUUUCGGUAUGUAAAGCUCUAUCAGCAGGGAAGAAGAAAGACGGUACCUGACUAAUAAGCACCGGCUAACUACGUGCCAGCAGCCGCGGUAAUGCGUAGGGGGCAAGCGUUAUCCGGAUUUACUGGGUGUAAAGGGUGCGUAGACGGGUGUGCAAGUCUGAUGGGAAAGCCCAGGGCUCAAACCAGGGACUGCUUUGGAUACUGUGGAACUAGAGUGCUGGAGAGGUAAGUGGAAUUCCUAGUGUAGCGGUGAAAUGCGUAGAUAUUAGGAGGAACACCAGUGGCGAAGGCGGCUUACUGGACAGAAACUGACGUUGAGGCACGAAAGCGUGGGGAGCAAACAGGAUUAGAUACCCGUGUAGUC
rnacentral:rRNA from 1 species